AAUUUGACACUUCAAACAUCUGUGGCUUGUAAUAGGACGGACAAUAUGAUGGUUCCUAACGAAGAAAAGGAAUACAGGCUGUCAUUACUUCAGCAAACGAGAAGACUUAUGGAAGAAGAAGCCAAAUGUAGUAAACUAAUCCAGCAGACAGUACCAACUGCAGAUAUGAUGUGCCCCCCAAUAUGGGAUUACGUAAUGUGUUGGAACGCCACAGAGGCUGGAACCACUGUCGUACAACCCUGUCCAAACUACAUCCACAAAUUUCUACUUAACGGUAAAAUAAUAUCGCAUUUAAGCACAAAAUACUUUACAAUUCUGUUAAAUACAAUCAAGUGAAUGUUGUAUCUUUCGUUCGAUCGUUGUAUUGAUUUGGUGAAUAUAUCAUUUAAAGUUGAAAUCUUUCAAAGCGUUCAGCAUUACAUAAUAAUGUGUUGCUACAUUUAUAUUACAGUUCGCUACGAUUUGUACCAUCCUUAUGAGUACACGACACAAGUUGUGGAAUGAAGAACAGUAGUAUUGAAAUGCGCUUAAUCUCAUAUUCUCUUUUUGUAACAAUAUGCUUUUUUCUUCCAUAAAACUUGUGAAACGAUAUGUUGACGUUUAUUACAGCAAACAGAUAAUAAUCAAUGCAUUCUCAACACGACUUUAGGAAAUUUGAUGCUUGUUUCAAAAACAAUCUUACGUAAUUACAUUUCCUUUAAACAUUUUGUGAUGAGAGGUCUUGACUCUACCUGAAAUAGUCUUAUCCAAUAAACACUUAACCUUUUUUUUAAAUGAACGUUUAAUUUAACGCUGGUUCAUGUUGAUUUGGUUGUCUGGUCCUCUCUGGUUUUAUAAUAAAUUCAUAGAUCUGUAAAUUUUUGUAAAUAUUGAAAUUAGUAGCACAUAAACUUCUUAACAUAAGGACCAUAUUUUAGCCAUGGUGACUGUUAGACUGCGCUCAUGAAACGAUUUCUUAUGCGAAAAACUUUUAACAGUUAAUGCAAAAACGUAAAAGAAUUAAUUAUCUUGUUUUUGUGUGUAUUUAAACAAUAAAUUUGAAUAUGAUUGUAAACUAUAAAACAUAUUAUUAAUUAAACAAUUAACAGUAGUAGGAAUUGAAGGUUUGUUGCAGCCCAUUUCAUAUACUGGCUGAAUUUUGUCAAUAUAUAUGUCCCAACAUGCGAAAAGCAACAGCUUGAUUAAAUUACAAUCGUAAUUCAGAAAAUGAAUAUUGUUUUAUAUAAUUGCGUAAAGGUAUCUGAUGAGUUUUGAAAACUGUAACCAAGUUUGAUUAAAAGAAAGAAAAAUAAUUUCCUAUGAAAUGGUUAUGCUGUAAACAUGGAUUCUUUUUUGAAAAACAAUGAGUAUAUGGAACUUACUAGGCAUUCAAUACUCAGAGAUUGGUUCACGAGAAAGAGAUUUGUGGUUUGUUUUUUUAUCGAUGUUUUCUAAUAAAGGAUUUGCAAAGAAAACAUGCAUGGAAAAUGGCACUUGGUACAUAAGCCCUCUGACUAAUAAAACAUGGACUGACUUCACGGGUUGUUCCUUCGAAGAGCAAUGGCGCCAGUCCCUAAAUCAACAUCUCGACCGUAUACAGAUCAUGUCAAUCAUUGGCCACUCCAUAUCGCUAGUGUCUUUGACUAUAGCUGUCGGUGUCCUGUUACAACUCAGAUACAGGACUGUUUUGCAUUGUAAGAGAAAGAGAUCCAACAUAACUAUGUUCCAUAUCAAUUUGUUCCUCGCCUACAUAUUACGGGCUACCACGUCGAUUCUGAAAGACUAUCUACUGUGGAAUGGUUUUGCCCUUUCUAAAGAUGUGCAGCAAAACGGGGAAAUGUUUGGGUUCAAGGACGAUAGUUCGCACUGGGAGUGUAAGCUUCUAGUCACCUUUUUUGUGUACACCCUGGUAGCUAGUACAUUCUGGCUGACGUUGGAUGCCCACGUCCUGAUGAAGCUUAUUGACGUCGACCUCAGAUACCUCCAGAAGAAGAAAUACACCCGUCUUCACAUCGCCAUAGGAUGGGUGGGACCUCUUGCUGUUGUCAUACCGUGGGUUUUGUUUCGGAUUUUUACCGAAGACUAUAUUUGCUGGAAUACCAAUCCAAAAUCAUGGACAGUUUGGAUUUACCGAGUGCCGAUCUUUUUAAUGAACGUGGCGAAUGUCAAUUACUUCAUCAAAAUCGUGCGAUUUAUGUACCAGAGAAUGAAAAAGAAUCGCUCUAAAGGGAAACAUUCCAACAAUAGAAGCACUGUUUUAAAAAUGACCAAACAUAUCUGUAUCCUGAUUCCAUUGUUUGGGGUCCCUUAUAUGAUCUUCACUAUAAUGUCCGUCAUGCUGGAUGUCGCUUAUUUAUAUGCAGAGAUGUUCUUUAGUUCAUUCCAGGGAUUUUUGUUGUCGGUAACGCUGUGUUUUACGGAUAAAAGGGUAAUCCAGGAAUCGAGACAAAUAUUCCUUCGGUGUGCGAAUACAAAACCAAGAGUCGACAUGGGAAGAAAGAUGUCACAACUGUCCUCAACUACAAGAACGGUGCUAUCAGAUUCAUAGGAAAAUGUUUCCAAUCUUUGAAAAAAAGGCGUGGGAGGCCACUGAAUGUAACGGCUGACUGAAAAUGAACGAAAUAUGUGCAUGAUACAAGGAAGUUUUAGACAUUUACAGAAUUGGUGAAACAAAGACUCCUUAACACAAUUGUAAAAAUAAACAGCUGACAUGAACAGGGUGUGAAUCAGAUUCUUACCCCCUUAAAAUUUUCUCCAAUAUGAAGUGUUGUCUGUCUCUGUAAUGGCUGCGAAGUCUGGUUGCACUGUGCAAUUAAUUAUCUACAAGUAGCCUUUUUAUUGACAAUAAAAAAGGCGUGUGCAACGGUCUUGAGAAUUAUGACGAAGUAAAUUUGUUGUAAUUAGAACUUGGAUAGUUCAAAAUAGUCCCUGUUGUCAGACGGAGGAACAAGAUACACCGGUCAUAACAUUCAGGUUGUAAAUGGAAGAUUUGUUUUGUGGAUAUUUUAAAAAAUGUAUGCCGAAUGUCUUUUAUAAACCAUACGAUUUGUUAUGUUCGUAAAAAAUCAUUAUCAAGAGAAUACAAAUUAUAAAAGUUUUCAUUUGAUUUUGCAUACACUUUUACAAAUUACUUAAAAAAGAUAAAAAGUGGUAUUAAUAUGUUUAAUUUUCUGAAUUUAUGGUACUAAAUUAAAUGCAUAGCAAACGUCCUGUUCUUUUGACGUGCAUAAACAUCGAAGAGGUGGUUUACAACAGUUUCCUUAUAGACACAAAUAGUUUUGUAUUGAAAAAAUCUGUUUAUAUCAAAGAAUGGCAGGGAAGUGAAGUGAAUAAAUGGUCUAUUUUGAUCGAAUUUUCCCCCGAACGCGUGUUUCUGUUUGUUAUACAUAUUGGUGUUAAUCAGUUUAUUUAUUGUACAUGUAUAUGUUAUGGUAUCAAAUGUUGAUCAGUCAUUUUUGUACAGUUUUACAUACAAAUUGAUAAAAUGGAUUGGAAUG
rnacentral:misc_RNA from 1 species